rnacentral:rRNA from 2 species
CGCUUGCACCUAAAUUCAGCAUGGAACGAGUGGCGGACGGGUGAGUAACACGUGGGUAACCUGCCCUUAAGUGGGGGAUAACAUUUGGAAACAGAUGCUAAUACCGCAUAGAUCCAAGAACCGCAUGGUUCUUGGCUGAAAGAUGGCGUAAGCUAUCGCUUUUGGAUGGACCCGCGGCGUAUUAGCUAGUUGGUGAGGUAAUGGCUCACCAAGGCGAUGAUACGUAGCCGAACUGAGAGGUUGAUCGGCCACAUUGGGACUGAGACACGGCCCAAACUCCUACGGGAGGCAGCAGUAGGGAAUCUUCCACAAUGGACGCAAGUCUGAUGGAGCAACGCCGCGUGAGUGAAGAAGGCUUUCGGGUCGUAAAACUCUGUUGUUGGAGAAGAAUGGUCGGCAGAGUAACUGUUGUCGGCGUGACGGUAUCCAACCAGAAAGCCACGGCUAACUACGUGCCAGCAGCCGCGGUAAUACGUAGGUGGCAAGCGUUAUCCGGAUUUAUUGGGCGUAAAGCGAGCGCAGGCGGUUUUUUAAGUCUGAUGUGAAAGCCCUCGGCUUAACCGAGGAAGCGCAUCGGAAACUGGGAAACUUGAGUGCAGAAGAGGACAGUGGAACUCCAUGUGUAGCGGUGAAAUGCGUAGAUAUAUGGAAGAACACCAGUGGCGAAGGCGGCUGUCUGGUCUGUAACUGACGCUGAGGCUCGAAAGCAUGGGUAGCGAACAGGAUUAGAUACCCUGGUAGUCCAUGCCGUAAACGAUGAAUGCUAGGUGUUGGAGGGUUUCCGCCCUUCAGUGCCGCAGCUAACGCAUUAAGCAUCCGCCUGGGGAGUACGACCGCAGGGUUGAAACUCAAAGGAUUGACGGGGGCCCGCAACAAGCGGUAGAGCAUGGUGGUUAUUUCAGAAGCAACGCGAAGACUUACCAGUCUUGACAUCUUUUGAUCACCUGAAGAUCAGGG